rnacentral:tRNA from 1 species
GCUAUCGUAGCUUAACUUAAAGUAUGACACUGAAGAUGUUAAGAUGUGCCCUAGAAAGCACCGAAAGCA